rnacentral:rRNA from 8 species
CCCGGACCCAUCCCGAACCCGGAAGCUAAGCCUGCCAGCGCCGAUGAUACUACCCAACACGGGUGGAAAAGUAGGACACCGCCGAAC